AAGGUAGCAUAAUCAAUCGUCACUUAAUUGGUGUCUGGAAUGAAAGGCUAAACGAGUUUUCCACUGUCUCAACUAUAAGAUAAGUGAAAUUUAAUAAUUCGUCAAGAUUCGAAUUAAGCUUGAUAAGACGAGAAGACCCCGUUGAGCUUUACUUUGCUUUCUCUUAUCCUGAACACUAGAGAUUCUAUUGGUCAAGAAAAGAGAGAAAAAUAAGUUUGGUUGGGGCGACCUCCCAAAUAGAUGAAACUUGGGAAAACAAAGGUUUACUACAAUGAAGAAAGCUUUACUAAUAGACGCAUACGUUAGUUAGUUAGAAACUAUUCUAAGUCAUAGAGACCCGCCCUCGAACCGGGGGCGAUAAUAAAUAAAAGUUACCACGGGGAUAACAGGGUUAUCCAAUCCUAGAGUUCAUAUCGAAGAUUGGGUUUGCCACCUCGAUGUUGAAUAGCAGCAUCCUGAAGGUGCAGAAGCUUUC
rnacentral:rRNA from 1 species